UUGGGUAACCGAAAGUAUGGUUAGUGGCGAAAGGGUGAGGAAUAGAUAGGAACGUACCCUGUGCUCUGGGAUAGCGUCUGAAGCUUCGGCUUCUUCCGAAAGGGGCGGUAAUACCAGAUAAUGUCCUUCGGGACCAAAGAUUUAUCGGCAUUGGAGCGGCCUAUCUCCUAUCAGCUUGUUGGUGAGGUAACGGCUCACCAAGGCAACGACGGGUAGCGGGACUGAGAGGUUGGCCCGCCACAUCGGGACUGAGACACUGCCCGGACCUCCACGGAGGGCUGCAGUAACGGAUAUUGGGCAAUGGGCGAAAGCCUGACCCAGCAAUGCCGCGUGCAGGAUGAAGCCCCUAGGGGUGUAAACUGCUGUCAGGGGUCAGAAAGCUGGUUUCGGCCAGUUGAUCAACCCCAGAGGAAGCCACGGCUAACUUCGUGCCAGCAGCCGCGGUAAUACGAAGGUGGCAAGCGUUACUCGGAAUCAUUGGGCUCAAAGGGCACGCAGGCGGAACAGUGUGUGUUGUGUGAAAUCCCCCGGCUUAACCGGGGAAUUGCACAGCAAAACUGCUGUUCUUGAGGCAGGUAGGGGUGCAUGGAAACUCUUGGUGGAGCGGUGGAAUGCGUAGAUAUCAAGAGGAACGCCAGAGGUGAAGACGGUGCACUGGGCCUGUCCUGACGCUGAGGUGCGAAAAGCGUGGGGAGCGAACGGGAUUAGAUACCCCGGUAGUCCACGCCGUAAACGAUGUCUACUAGGUCGUGGGUGUUCUGACACAUUCACGGCCGGAGCAAAAGUGUUUAGUAGACCGCCUGGGGAGUACGGCCGCAAGGUUAAAACUCAAAUGAAUUGACGGGGGCUCACACAAGCGGUGGAGCAUGUGGAUUAAUUCGAAGCAACGCGCAGAACCUUACCUGGGUUUGACAUGCUUGGAUGCCUGCUCUGAAAGGAGUUAGGCUGCCUUCGGGUGAAACUUGCACAGGUGCUGCAUGGCUGUCGUCAGCUCGUGUCGUGAGAUGUCGGGUUAAGUCCUUUAACGAGCGAAACCCUUGCCGUUAGUUGCCAGCGAGUAAUGUCGGGGACUCUAACGGGACUGCCGGUGUUAAACCGGAGGAAGGUGGGGAUGACGUCAAGUCCUCAUGGCCUUUAUGCCCAGGGCUUCACACGUGCUACAAUGGCAAUUACAGAGCGACGCGAUACCGCGAGGUGGAGCAAAUCGCAAAAAAAUUGCCUCAGUUCGGAUUGCAGG
rnacentral:rRNA from 1 species